GGGGGGGGCGGUAGCCCCCCCAGUUUGUUGGGCAGUCGGGCAAUAUUCGCUGAACAGUCGGGUAAUUUUGGUUUAUUAUAAAAAUAAAUGGGACAAAUUCUGUAAAUUUUGCGGUCAAAUUUGUGAUGUUUCGAAAAUUUUUGUUAGGUUCCGAAAAAUUUUGGUGUCGGAAAAAAAUUUUUUGACGCCUAAAAUGGUACACUGACCGAAAACAGACCGGCAUACCUUAUAGUAUGCUGAAAACGUAUGCUGAAAACAGGCCGGCAUACCUUAUAGUCACGAAACGUGGCUAUAAAAUAUGCUGAAACUGCAUACCUUAUCGGGCCACGAAACGUGGCUAUAGGUAUUCC